UAUAAUCGUCGUGGGGAUAUGGCCUGACCUGUUACAAAGAAAUGCUCUACGGUGGGUGUUAGCUAGAGAUAACAAGAGCAUAAUUAUCGGAACUAUGAUGCGUCAUAACAAGCUACACAGAUGCUUGCAAACCUCGGACCAUAGCACCGUUCAUUUCGAUCCAGAUCAUCACACUACACAUCGGCUGCAGAUAAUUCGGCGCUCCUUGAUCCAAAAUCCGAAGACUUAUUUAAUCAACAGAUAUCUAGAGAGGAGACAGGCUUAUUUGGCAACAGCGAUACCAGGUUCAAAUCAAUAGUCACAAUGAUUUGUAUUUUCCCAAUUAUAUAUCAAAUCAACAGUCUCAAUGAUUU